AAAAGGGUUGAACUGGUGGAAGAGCAAGAAGAAUUUGGCAAAAAGCUUACCGUUGGAGGAACCUCCUUGGAAUGUUAUUACAACAGAUGCCAGUUCCUUUGGAUGGGGUGCCCACCUCAAUUCCACAUGGAAACCAGGGAAGUGGACCUGAGAAGAGUCGCCUACACUCAAAUCUAAGAAAACUAAGAGCUAUUUCCAAAGCCAAUUUUGUAUUCCUCCCGAUGAUCGAAGAUUCUUGGGUCUUAAUCAAAACGUACAACCGAGCGGUUGCCUUGUAUGUGAACAACCAAGGAGGCACAAGAAGCAGAUUGCUCUUGGAGGAACUAGCUCCCUUGAUGAAGGUGGCCAUGAACAGUCUCCAAGGUCUGAAGGCAAUCUAUCUUCCGGGUUCAGAGAACAUUACUGCGGGCUUCCUCAGCAGAACAGAAAUUCUUCCAGGAGAAUGGAGACUUCACCCGGCAGUCUUCUCAUGGGUUGCCCAUCGACCUGAUGGCGUCUUACCGGAAUCAUCAGAGAAUUUCUUCUCUCUCCAUCCAGACAAUUGGGCGAUGGGCCAGGACGCUAUCUCUCUUCCUUUGUCAUUCAAUCUGUGGUAUGCAUUCCUUCCCCUACACAUGAUACCCAGAUUCCUGCGGAAGGUUUGGCCAGAAGGCAAAAAGAUAAUUGGCAUAAUUCCAAUCUGGCCUUGAUGGCCAUGAUUUCCUCUCUUAACCAUGAUGAGUCAGGAUUCAUCCUCUUCCAAUAAUGGAAGGAUCUGCUGACUCAGGGCCCAAUCUCCCUUACUCAUCCGGAACGCCUCAAGUUGGGGGUAUGGGUUUUGAAAAGGAAAGACUUCGACAAUUAGGUCUUUCGGAAGCGGUGGUCAAUACCCUUUUGCAGUCUCCGAAGGCUUCAACUUCCUUGUGCUACCAUAGGAUCUGG